UUAUAUUUGAUGGGAAUCAAAAGUAUUGAAUUUUUAAUAUAUGGAGUUAUACAUACUUACUGUAAGAUGCAGGAAGAUAUUGUUAUUGGGAUCAAAGACGGGAGCAAGGGCCUAGGGACUAAAAAGAAAUAAGAAAAACUUACAAUGGGUUUAUUAAAUAAUAAAGCAAACUAAGUGGAUCAAUUGCAAGAAGUAAAGUUGUUAACUAAUCAACCUAUUGCAUCACGGUGCACCAUUUCAAGCCUCUUGUACAAGCUCCACCAGUUGCUCCAACCUCUUCUAUUUCAAUUCGUAUCACAAACUUCAUUGAAACCCCAUUUUUGGAACAAAAUACGAAAGACAGUUAAAGAAACAAAAAUAUACUUUUGAUAAGAUGACGAUAGAAGGGGAGAUUCUAAAAAAAUCCAUAUAUGCAUUCCCUUCUCACUGUAUUUGCACCCCUCUGUGUAAAAUGAUGGCGAGGAAGAUGAGAGAUCUGAAAAGGGGGAGGUGGGGGUCAUUUAUGGCUGCUCCUUCUUCAGCUUUUGUCCCUAGGCCUUUUUAGGCGUAUUUUUCUGUCCUCUUGCUCGUUUUGGCGUUAGCCUAUAUGUAGAGUCUAGGUUUUAG
rnacentral:lncRNA from 1 species